rnacentral:misc_RNA from 1 species
AAGGAAUCCCGUGAUAACUCCUGUCCGCUGAUCCAAAUCUUACGGAUGACCAGUUAACAGAAACUUUUGAGCCCAAAACUGAACUAAGACCAGGGCCACUUAAGGCUGAUAAAUAGAAUAUCAUUAAUUUAUUUCCCCAGUUGUCUUAACGCUAAAGUUUAUGCUAUAGUUUAGUAGCGGACAGGAGUUAUCACGGGAUUCCUUUCUUUGCUGGUUGCCUCCUUUCUUGGUGCAUUUACGGCAAAGCUUACCAUGUGUGAAUAGAAGACAAUUCAGAUCAAAUUUAAGCUCAUUGGGAAUCCGUUGGUUGAGAUGAAGGUAUGCCUUAUUCCUGUCUGCCACUCCAGGUACCCAGCCAAUGGCCUUUGCAAUUUCAAACACAUGCGUGUCCACAGGGAAAUCGUCUAGUUGAAGUUGGAACAGCAAAACACAAGAUACCGUUUUGGGCCCAAUUCCCUUGAAAUGAGACAGCUCAGCUUUAAUUUCUUCAACUGACAAAUCUCGAAGGUACUCCAAGCAUAGUUUGCCAUUUUUCUCAAGCACUCAAUAUGUUCUUAAUGCAAGAAGCUUUUGUUGGAGCUAGACCUCCACAUCUUAUGGCAUUCUCUAUGCAUUUCGAUUCAGCAGCAAGUACAUCUUCCCAUGUAGGAAAAGCAGAUUUCAGAUUAGCAAAAGCCCUUUGAGAAUUAACCUCGGUAGUAUUCUGGGAAAGCAGGGUUUUUACCAAACCAUCCAAAACGCUUUCCUCCCCAGGCUCUGAUUUCACGCCAUUGUGGGCAUCACUGUCGAUUCCAGAGGAGGAUAAAUUCCGUCUCUGCUCUCGAUACUUGGCGAACUCUUGAGGAAAGCCGUGACAAGCCAAAAGAGAGUCUCGGAUAGCUAGGCAUUCUUCGGGAGUGGGUCGAAGGUGAGCUGGGUAUGGCUCUUGUUUUGUGGAAAUGCUGAUUUUGGCUGAUUUUGUUUCAGAUUCGCCUGAUUUAAGUUGGAACUGUUGCUUUCUUUUGCGGCUUUUCUGCAUUUUGCAUCUUC